CCCCCCUGUCGUCGCAUACUAUACUAACUACAUCUGUUCCUCAGCUGCAUGCAUAUCUAUUUUGACAUUUGUUUUUUGUGUACGUAUAUACGUGCAAUGUAAGCUUGUGUUUAGAAGAUCUGUUUGAAAACAUUCCAUAGGUUUUGUUUAUGACGCGAACGUGCGAAAAAGAAGCAAAAAUCUCAAAACACUUCGCACAAAUUCGCGCUCUUCCGUAUUUAUUGUUGUGAAAAACGAAGAAUAAAAGACCGGUAAUAACGUGUAAAAAAAAUUUUUGUGAAACAAUCGAAAAUGUCCUCUCUUCAAAAGACGAUCUUGAAAUCGAGAUUACCACCGUCUGGUUUCAAUUUACCCGUAUCAUCGUCUAGAGCUGAAAAAACUCGAGCUAUGCAACAACGCAAGCGAGAUUACGAUCCAAUUACUUGGAAUCCGUACUUUGAGGAAUCCAAGGACGUUAAACUCGGAGAUAAUACUUUUCACAUCUAUACAACAGGAUCUGAAGGUCCUAUGCUCGUUUUACUACACGGUGGAGGCUACGGAGCUUUGACAUGGGCAGAAUUUACGAAAUCUAUAAUGACAAUGGUAGUUUGCAAAGUAAUGGCCAUUGAUCUGAGAGGUCAUGGUGACUCUCGCACAACCAGUGAUGAGGAUUUGCAAGUUGAUACUUUAGCAAAGGAUGUUGCUGCAGUAAUUGAAAGUGCGGCUCCGCAUGACUCGAUCAUUUUGGUAGGUCACAGUAUGGGUGGAGCAGUGGCAGUUCGAACCGCACCUCUUCUUCAAAAUCUUGCAGGGUUGACGGUAAUAGAUGUGGUUGAAGGAACAGCCAUGGACGCUCUGGCAUCGAUGCAAAGCUUUCUUAGAUCUCGACCAUCUACAUUUAGCACAAUACCGCAGGCUAUCGAGUGGUGUGUUCGUAGUGGACAGAUAAGGAAUGUGACGUCGGCUAAAGUCUCAGUUCCAGGCCAAAUAAAAAAUAUUCACACCGACAAGUUGGCGACUCAUGAGAUCGAAGAUUUGUUGAACAACUCUAACCACGAAGUUGAUCACGUUGAAGAACCUGUACUACAGCGUGACGACGUCAUUCAGGAAGAAGAGACCGCGAGUAUGCCGCCGCCCGUUGUUUCGAACCACUCUGGUAACAAAAACUAUACUUGGAGAAUAGACCUCGCAAAAACCGAACAAUAUUGGUCAGGUUGGUUCAAGGGUCUUUCCGCAGCGUUUCUUAACGUGGCUGCUCCAAAAAUGCUUCUACUUGCUGGCGUCGAUAGACUAGAUCGGGAACUGACUGUAGGACAAAUGCAAGGUGAACUGAAAGCAAAUUCCAGAUGCAAGUUCUUCCAGCCUGUGGCCAUGCGGUGCACGAAGACGUACCGGAUAAAGUAGCGGAAGCCAUUGCAACUUUCAUGGUCAGACACAAGUUCGCGGAACCAGCCUCUGAAUUUCCUCGAACAUUUCCGGCCUGUUAGAAGUUGAGGAUUCGAUGAAGAAAGUACAUUCGCGCAACAAUCGAUCUCUUUCCGACCAAUUCGAACUCGGAGGUAUACAAUGUUACGAAUCCAACGUGAACGCAUUGGGUGUCAGGACGAUUGUGUAAAUAAAGGUGUGAUUGAAGUGCAUAACGAA
rnacentral:misc_RNA from 1 species